UACGUAGGGUGCGAGCGUUGUCCGGAAUUAUUGGGCGUAAAGGGCUCGUAGGCGGUUUGUCGCGUCGGGGAGUGAAAAACCAGGUGCUUAACACCUGGCUUGCUUUCGAUACGGGGCAGACUAGAGGUAUUCAGGGGGAGAACGGAAUUCCUGGUGUAGCGGUGAAAUGCGCAGAUAUCAGGAGGAACACCAGUGGCGAAGGCGGCCGCCUGG
rnacentral:rRNA from 1 species